rnacentral:rRNA from 1 species
AACGAACGCUGGCGGCAUGCCUAACACAUGCAAGUCGAACGAGACCUUCGGGUCUAGUGGCGCACGGGUGCGUAACGCGUGGGAACCUGCCCUUAGGUUCGGAAUAACUCCCCGAAAGGGGUGCUAAUACCGGAUAAUGUCUUCGGACCAAAGAUUUAUCGCCUUUGGAUGGGCCCGCGUUGGAUUAGCUAGUUGGUAGGGUAAAAGCCUACCAAGGCGACGAUCCAUAGCUGGUCUGAGAGGCUGAUCAGCCACACUGGGACUGAGACACGGCCCAGACUCCUACGGGAGGCGGCAGUGGGGAAUAGUGGACAGUGGGCGAAAGCAUGAUGCAGCAAUGCCGCGUGAGUGAUGAAGGCCUUAGGGUUGUAAAGCUCUUUUACCCGGGAUGAUAAUGACAGUACCGAGAGAAUAAGCUCCGGCUAACUCCGUG